rnacentral:rRNA from 1 species
GUGACUAAGCGUACACGGUGGAUGCCUUGGCAGUCAGAGGCGAUGAAGGACGUAGUAACUUGCGAUAAGCCCAGAUUAGGUAGUAACAACCAUUUGAGUCUGGGAUUUCCGAAUGGGGAAACCCACUAGCAUAAGCUAGUAUCGUUAUGUGAAUACAUAGCAUAACGAGGCGAACCGGGGGAACUGAAACAUCUAAGUACCCCGAGGAAAAGAAAUCAACCGAGAUUCCGAAAGUAG